UUUCUUUUUUUCUCACUGAUGAGAACUGAACCCAGGUAUCCAGAUAAAUAAAGUGGGGGCUCUGUUGAUGACCCACAUAUCAGCUUCUGUCCAUUUUUGAAAUGUGUUAUUUGUAAUUUUCUUAUAGAGGAGAGGUGUUUUUCUCUACAACCUAGGAACCAAUUCCUCAUCAGGUGCAUGAUUUGGAUGGGUUUGUAGACCCAUAAGAACAACAAUACCAACCAACCAGAGUUCCCAGGGACUUAACCACCAUCCAAAGAGACAGACCCAUGGCUCCAGCUGCAUAUGUAGCAGAGGAUGGCCUUUUUGGGCACCAAAUGGGAGGAGAAGCCCUUGGUCCUGCCAAGGCUGGAUGCCCCAGUGCAGGGUAAUGUCAGGGCAAAGAGUGGGAAGGGGUGGGUGGAUGGGUCAGGGAACACCCUCAUAAAAGAAGGGGGAGGGGGUGGGAUAGGGGUUUAUAGAUGUGAAACCGGGAAAGGGGAUAGCAUUUGAAAUGUAAAUAAAUUUUUUAAAUCCAAUAAAAAUAUUAAUAUUUAGAAAGAAAGAAAAUCCUUUUACCAGUUUGGUGGGCUAUCUUUUCACUCUAGUGACAACUCAGAGAUGCACAUAAGUUUUUAAUUUAAUAAUGUCCAAUUUAUUUCCUUGUCUCAAACUGUCUGUGUGUUGACUACUGCAGCCCAAAAACCAAAAUAUAAUUCCCUUAAGUCUUUUGAAAACACAAUGAAGAUUUUCCUGUGUGUCUUCCCCAAAAGGUUCACUGUUUCAGCUUGUGGUCUACCUUUGUGAUUUAUUUUGAGCCUGCUGUUAUACUGUGUAAGGUAAGGACUCAACGCUCUUUUGUAUACACCUCCACUCAGAGAUCUGGGUGUCUCACUGUCCCAGCACCAUCUGUUGAAAAUACCAACUUUUCCCCAUGACUACCUGCUCUGGUUUGAAUGUUAACUGUCGCUUACAGGUUUGUGUGUUUGAACCUUCAGCCCCCAGCUGGUGGUGCUGUUUUGGGAGGCUGGGAAAACUUUUGGGAUGUGGUAAGCAUUGGCUGGAUGAGGUAGGCCACAGAGGACAUGCUUUUAAGGUGAUGGCUCAGCCCUGCUUCCAGUCCUGUUUUCUGCUUUGUGAUCUCCCAGGAUGUAAGGAGCUGAUGUCCCAUACCCCCACUACAACUAAUAAACUCAUCUCAGCUGCUGUGGUUCACUGUAUCCUCUGAAAUUGGGAGCCAAAAUGCCAGCCCCCUCCCCCAUCAGUCGCCACAGGGAGCAUAACAAUACUCUUGUGGAAAUCAAUUGAUUGAUCAUCCAUGUGAGUCCUGACAUCCCAAAUGCGCCCCUUAGCCUCUCCUCACUCCACUGCCACCUCAGCAGUGUGACUCCCACAAGAAGGUGACAAUAGGUACUUGAGCAUCUCUCAACUAGACUGUCAUGGCCUGCAGAGUGUAGGCCCCUACAGCAGGUACAGGGUUCAGAGUCAGUGUGGAUCCACAGGUGUAUUUCUCCUCACACAUCUGUUCCCACUCCUCAGUUUUCCCUGUCAUCAGCCACACUGUGAGGAACCUUGAUAGUCUUAGCUCCAACCUCGUUCAUUCACUACACACACGCACACGCACACACACACACACCACACACACACGCACACACACAUACACACACACAUAAACACACACAUGCACACACACACUCGCGCACACACACCACACACACAUGCACACACAUGCACACACAUGCACACACACGCACACACACGCACACACUCGCACACACACACACACACACACAGAGAGAGAGAGAGAGAGAGAGAGAGACAGAGAGAGAGAGAGAGAGAGAGAGAGAGAGAGAGAGAGAGAGAGAUUUCGUUCUCCAGACCCCAGUUGCUUCUGGUCCCAAUUAUUUUAAUCCUUAUGCCUUCUCCCACUGAGUUCCUGGUCAGGAGGAGCCUCACUUCCCCACUCUGCCCUGCAUUUCCAGAGCAGCUUGGUUGUCACCUCCUCGGUGAUGGCUGUGGAUUGUCCCCAGGACUGUGCCCCAGAAGCAGAGCUGUGUCUUUCCUACAUGCUGUGCAUCCCUGCCGUUUAUUGCUCUGACAGCCACAUGGAUGACUGUACUGAUACCCGUCCUCGGAACCAGCCCAAUCCCCCUGUCAUGAUGUCAUGCCUCUUACGCUGUAGUGGGUGGUGACCCUACAAAACACUCAGCCCAGGAGAUCUCUCAGGCUUCUCAUCUUGGUUGUGCCAGUUUCUCCCCUUGGACAUGAGGCACUUGAGGACAGGGACUGUCCUCUUUCCACCUUUGCAGCCCCAGCCGGAACCUGGCACACAGCAGGUGCCGAUAAAUAUUUGCUAAAUAAAGGAAUGCAUGACUUCAAACUCGGCUUUUAAAGUUCUGCAGCCCUUGGAAAAUUCCACAGUUUAUGCAGCUGCUCCUGUCCUCUGUACAAAUAGGCACUUUAUCAAUCCAAGGCUGGCAGCAGAUCUGCUGAGCCUAACUCAAGCCUCGGGCUCCUUCCCAGAGCAGUCCCUCCACUCAAACGGGGCUGCAUCUGCCUCCCUUGAUAGGUGCUUCUGCCAGGAGCCAGGAAAAGCUUGAUGCAUGCCUCCCCUUCCCAAUGCUAUUUUCAAAGCAACUCAGAAGCAAUCGUGAUAUUUUUUGCCCUUAAGAACAAGACAACUCCUUUGACAUAAUAAGGUUAAAAAAGAAACUGAAAAAAAAAAGAAAGAAAGAAAAAGAAAGAAAAAAACUCUGCACUGCAUUUCCUUUCAGCUGGGUGGAAAAACCCAAUCUCCAGUUCCAGCUGGCAGGCUGUUGGACUCUCGCUUCUGAGGAGAAGGGGAGCGGAAAGAUCAGCCCUGUGCAGCUGAGGACUUAUUUUUGGCUGUGCAGCUGGUGAGGAGUUGCUGGCAGCAGGCAGCAUCUCCUCAGCACCGAGGCAGGGGCAUGACACUGCAUGGACAGAAGAGCCCUCUUUGGGGCUGGGUACCACACUCUCCUGUUGGCAACACUGACAGGUUGGAAUGAUUCUGGGCAAAGGACUCCAAUGGGUGACCUCUGGGUCCGAGGGACUUGAGGUUCCCUCGGGAGAAAGGGACGUUUACUGAAACAAUGGCUUCAGGAAUCCCCCCUAUUGCCCUUGAGGACAGUCCUGGGCUGAAAGAGCAGCAGUACUAAAGCAACAUGGGAACAGUGGUAUUUACCUUCAGUGAUAUAGCCUCUUCUGCUCUAAGCUCUACCAACUGGGAAAUGAGAACCCGCUGAGCUGCCCCAUCUCUGUCUUUGAGAAGUGGCGUUUCCUUUUACAGCUCCUGCCACUUGAUGGCUGUGCUUUUGCCAAGGAUGUCGAGUCACACAGAUUCACACAUGUGAUUUCCACGGAGCCCUGAUGAGCAGUGUGGACAAGCCAGCAUACAUUUGAGCAUAACCCACCUGGACAGCCAUGUAAAGACCGACAGAAACAGGAAUCUCUAUGAAGUGCCCUGUUCAACUUCAACCUGGGACUAUAUGUUUCAGACCACCUUGUUCUUAUUUUAUUUUAUUGCCUCUUUAUAGCAAUAAAAUAAUUUAUAAAUAAAAUAAAAUGGACUGUC